AGUCGAACGCUGAAGGCCAGCUUGCUGGGUUGGAUGAGUGGCGAACGGGUGAGUAACACGUGAGUAACCUGCCCCCUUCUUUGGGAUAACGGUCGGAAACGGCUGCUAAUACCGGGUAUUCACUGUCCUUCGCAUGGGGGGUGGUGGAAAGGUUUUUUCUGGUGGGGGAUGGGCUCGCGGCCUAUCAGCUUGUUGGUGGGGUGAUGGCUUACCAAGGCUUUGACGGGUAACCGGCCUGAGAGGGUGACCGGUCACAUUGGGACUGAGAUACGGCCCAGACUCCUACGGGAGGCAGCAGUGGGGAAUAUUGCACAAUGGGCGAAAGCCUGAUGCAGCGACGCCGCGUGAGGGAUGACGGCCUUCGGGUUGUAAACCUCUUUCGCUCAUGGUCAAGCCGCAACAGUGGUUGUGGUGAGGGUAGUGGGUAAAGAAGCACCGGCUAACUACGUGCCAGCAGCCGCGGUAAUACGUAGGGUGCGAGCGUUGUCCGGAAUUAUUGGGCGUAAAGGGCUUGUAGGCGGUUUGUCGCGUCUGCCGUGAAAUCCUCUGGCUUAACUGGGGGCGUGCGGUGGGUACGGGCAGGCUUGA
rnacentral:rRNA from 1 species